rnacentral:rRNA from 1 species
CUACGGGUGGCAGCAGUGGGGAAUAUUGCACAAUGGGCGGAAGCCUGAUGCAGCAACGCCGCGUGCGGGAUGACGGCCUUCGGGUUGUAAACCGCUUUCGCCUGUGACGAAGCGUGAGUGACGGUAAUGGGUAAAGAAGCACCGGCUAACUACGUGCCAGCAGCCGCGGUGAUACGUAGGGUGCGAGCGUUGUCCGGAUUUAUUGGGCGUAAAGGGCUCGUAGGUGGUUGAUCGCGUCGGAAGUGUAAUCUUGGGGCUUAACCCUGAGCGUGCUUUCGAUACGGGUUGACUUGAGGAAGGUAGGGGAGAAUGGAAUUCCUGGUGGAGCGGUGGAAUGCGCAGAUAUCAGGAGGAACACCAGUGGCGAAGGCGGUUCUCUGGGCCUUUCCUGACGCUGAGGAGCGAAAGCGUGGGGAGCGAACAGGAUUAGAUACCCUGGUAGUC